rnacentral:misc_RNA from 1 species
GAUGAAGAACGUAGCGAAAUGCGAUAAGUAAUGUGAAUUGCAGAAUUCAGUGAAUCAUCGAAUCUUUGAACGCACAUUGCGCCCGCCAGUAUUCUGGCGGGCAUGCCUGUCUGAGCGUCAUUUCAACCCUCACGCCCCUAGGGCGUGGUGUUGGGGAUCGGCCAAAGCCCGCGAGGGCGGCCGGCCCCUAAAUCUAGUGGCGGACCCGUCGUGGCCUCCUCUGCGAAGUAGUGAUAUUCCGCAUCGGAGAGCGAUGAGCCCCUGCCGUUAAACCCCCAACUUUCCAAGGUUGACCUCAGAUCAGGUAGGAAUACCCGCUGAACUUAAGCAUAUCAAUAAGCGGAGGA